AGAGUGAACGCUGGCGGUAGGCCUAACACAUGCAAGUCGAACGGCAGCACAGUGGUAGCAAUACCAUGGGUGGCGAGUGGCGGACGGGUGAGGAAUACAUCGGAAUCUACCUUUUCGUGGGGGAUAACGUAGGGAAACUUACGCUAAUACCGCAUACGCCCUUUGGGGGAAAGCCGGGGAUCGCAAGACCUGGCGCGGAUAGAUGAGCCGAUGUCGGAUUAGCUAGUUGGUGAGGUAAUGGCUCACCAAGGCGACGAUCCGUAGCUGGUCUGAGAGGAUGAUCAGCCACACUGGAACUGAGAACACGGUCCAGACUCCUACGGGAGCAGCAGUGGGGGAAUAUU
rnacentral:rRNA from 1 species